rnacentral:rRNA from 1 species
AGUGAAUAGAUACCCUGGUAGUCCACGCCCUAAACGAUGAUCACUCGAUGUGUGCGAUAUACUGUACGCGUCUGAGCGAAAGCAUUAAGUGAUCCACCUGGGGAGUACGACCGCAAGGUUGAAACUCAAAGGAAUUGACGGGGGCCCGCACAAGCGGAGGAGCAUGUGGUUUAAUUCGAUGAUACGCGAGGAACCUUACCAGGGCUUGAAAGUUAGUGAAGGAUGUGGAAACAUGUCCGUCAGCAAUGACACGAAACUAGGUGCUGCAUGGCUGUCGUCAGCUCGUGCCGUGAGGUGUUGGGUUUAAGUCCCGCAACGAGCGCAACCCCUAUCAUUAGUUGCCACCAGGUUAAGCUGGGGACUCUAAUGAGACUGCCCGCGCAAGCGGUGAGGAAGGUGGGGAUGACGUCAAGUCAUCACGGCCCUUACGUCCUGGGCUACACACGUGCUACAAUGGCCGAUACAACGGGCAGCCACAUGGCAACAUGGAGCUAAUCCU